CCGGCCCACUUCAGGAAAUUUGCCUGGGAAUGAGUCUGCACUGGCUUGGCGAGCCCUCUGCUACCCUGCUUGAGUGUGCGUCUGACAGUCAUUGCUUUCUAGACACACUCAGGCAAAACUGAAGAGAAAGAGUCUGGGUGGAUGGGAACCACUUUUCAGGUCUCUCUGAGGAAGAGGCAGGGCGGUACGGUGGAGUGAGUGUGUGUGAGUGUGUGUGAGUGUGUGUGUGUGUUGCGUUAAGGAGCCAAGCUCAGGAAAGGAGUAGAAGGGGAGAAAAGAAAAGUAGAAGCAAAGAAAGGGUCUUGAGGUGCGAGGAGGAGGACUCGAAGGGCAAAAACAAGGAGAACAACAUCUAAACCAAACGGAGUCAAUCUGAGGACACAGGAGGACAUGACCCUUUAUCAUCGUGCCUGCAUCUCUUCUCUCAGAGAACCUGCUGAAACUUUAAUUGGCAUGGGCAGCAACUUUUCUGAAAACAUCUUCCUCAAACUUAUCUUUGAAACCCUACAAUUGGCCUGGAUAAUUGAUUCUCCAUUGAUCCCGGGAGUCAAGAAAAUAUAUAGUUCAUCAUCUGCCUGAUCAACAAUAGCUGAGUUCCCCCAAGUUGCCUCAUCCAUUUCCUUCCAUCGGAUCAGGACGAGAGUUUAAUUUUUCAUGAAAAGCAAAACUGUUGCUUUCUCCACAGCCAGAUAACUGGGGUAAUUGCUCACACUCACACUAAUGCAGUUUCAGCCGGAGGCUCCUGAGGCCCCUGCGCUGACCUGGAUUGUGAAAUGGGAAGGAGGCUGCCUUGUCAGGGGGCCGAGGAGGCGGGGGCGGGGCGGGGUGGGAUCCUGCCCUGACCCACCCACCGCGUGUAGAGA
rnacentral:lncRNA from 1 species